GGGGUGGGGCAGCCUGGACUGCCCCACCGUCUUCUACAUAUGUUGCUUCUGAACCACAAGCUGUAUAAAAUUGAUGUUUUUUUUUUUUCUUUUUUGCAUUUCUGUCAGUGUGGUAACUGCCCGUGGGGGGAGGACUGUGCUCAGGCAAGCUCUGACUCCUCCCACUACGAACACAAACUGCACUUCACAUCUUUCUUUUAGCCUGAAGCCAGGGAAAUUGUCUCGGAGAUUUUGAUGAGCGCAUACUUGCCUGAGCGGAGGCCCCGCACCCACUCUAGACUUCGGGCCUCUCAUUCAGGUGUAUUUUUGUUGCUUCCCUCCCCAGAUACCCACAGCAGAUACAGGGUCACUUGUCCAACAUCCCUCCCUGGCUUCCCCGCUAGCACAUCUGAAAUCUGCCUUGAGUAGAAGCUAGAUCCACAGACUUAGUCACCGUCCACCCAACCUCUGACAGACAGGUCAGUUUCCUGGCCCUCCUCCCAUUCUUCAUUCCUGUGCCUCCCUGACUAAACCCCGAGCUUCACUUCUGGGCUUCUUCCGGCUCAGGUUGCCGGCUGUGGACACAUCCCUCUGGGCCUCUGCAUUGGCUUGUCCACAAGUGACUCCUUCAGUAUUUGAUUUGCCUCUCUAAGACCUGCCCACCGGUCAAAUGGGACCAUGCCCUCUGUGACGGCCUUGGCUUCUUUCCAUGACACUAUGAAUCACUGUCUGGAACUGUUUUGUCUUUCUUGGGUUUAGUGCUUGGCCAGUCCUUCCCACUCAUGAAGGUGUAUGUCCUUCCCCCGUCUCAGAAAGGAGUAGGUCCUCCCCACUUAUGGAGGUGUAUGUCCCUCCUCCCCCAACUCAGGAGGGUGUAUGUCCUCUCUACUCAGUAGGGUGUAUGUCCUUUGAAGCAGGCUCAGGACUUCCUGGCCAAUCCUAGCACAAAAGACCCUCAAUACAGCAUGUUCCCAACCAGGAAGCAACCUGCUGAGUGACAAGGGUAAGGGUAGCCACACGGCAAUCUAGUAGCAGAACAGGGUCUGGUGCCUAAGACUGCUGUCCGGUAGCAGUGGCCAGCAUUUCAGCUGUGGCUUUGAGAGACGUCUAGGUGGACCCUUCCCUGGGCACACCCUAUUCCACAGGCUGUAAUUACCUGUCUGGAGGGGACCCCAGCUCUCUCCCCACUCUCACUGUCAGCCAGAUAAGAGCACACACACAAGCCUAAUGACCUGAGUUUGACCCCUGGAGUCACAGUGGAAGAAAAGAACCAACUCCUAAAGGUUGUUCUGUGACCCCCUGCGGGGUGCCAGAGCCUGUGGGAAACCGCGUGGAAUACAGAAACCAUACAUACAAUAAUAAACACAUAAUUUUUUAAUAAAAAAAUUUUUGAGGCAACUCUGAAAAAAAAAAUCUUAAAAAAAAAGAUAGAG
rnacentral:lncRNA from 1 species